UCCUGGACUCUAGCAAUCCUCCCUUCUCAGCCUCCCAAGUAGCAGGGACCACAGGCAUCUGCCACCACACCUGGCUAAUUUAAAAAAAUUUUUUUCAUAGAGAUGGGCUUUCACCAUAUUGCCCCAGUUUGUCUCAAACUCCUGGGCUCAAGUGACUUUAAAUUUUUUAAAGUCAAAUGCAAGUCUGUUUGGCUGGGCUUGGUGGCUCACGCUGGUAAUCCCAGCACUUUGGGAGGCUGAAGUGGGUGGGUCAUUUGAGGUCAGGCAUUUGAGACCAGCCUGGCCAACAUGGUAAAAUCCCACCUCUACUAUAAAUAGAAAAAUUAGCUGGGCCUGGUGAUAGGUUCCUGUAGCCCCAGCUACUCAGGAGGCUGAGGCAGGAGAAUCGCUUGAACUCAGGAGGCUGAGGCAGGAAAAUCGCUGAGAUUGCACCACUGCACUUCAGCCUGGGUAACAGAGCAAGACUCUGUCUCAAAAAAUAAAAAUACAAAAUACAAAAAGUCAAAUGCAAGUCUGUUUGAAACUCUAGCAAGGAUUGUGGUUAGGAUCUCUGGUGCAGUCAGUAUAGCUGCUGGUAGAAAAUCACUAAUUUUGAAAUGUCUCAAAGCGGUUUCCACUUGUUGAGCAAGCUAACUGCUGUUUAGUGAGAUGGGGCGUUUGGAAGUGACUUGAUGUGGCCAUUCACGCAGCCAUAACUUACGCAUAACUUCUCUCUUUUUUUAUGGCUGCAACAUUUUAUGGUUACAUGUUAAUCACAUUUUCUACUUCCUUCCCCCUAAGCUCAGUGCAGGCAGUGAUGUUGAAGAGCCUCCUCUCAGCACGAAGUGAGGACGCCUGAGUUCUUAGUUGAUGGCAGCCUGCAGACUUGGAAGUGUUCCCUUCGGUUAUCCUAGAGAAUGUGGGCUUGUUUGAGGUCAGGAUGCGGGAAGUGUCUGUGCUGGCCCGACCCACCGGGUCCCUGGGGAGCCAUAUUUCAACAGCAAGAAAAAUGUAUCAUUCUUUCUCUUAGUUUCAAGUCCAGAUGUGCACACUCUGAGGAGGCAGCAUGCUGAGAUGUGCUCAAGAUGAACGUUCAGGGCAGCUGCUCUUCAGAAGCAAGGCUUGUAAUAUGGCCCCAAGUACCCUCUCCUGCUGUUGGUCUGGAAUUGACAUUGCCGGUCCAGAUGUUUUGAGAGAAGCUGUAAAUCUCUGGCUGCCUCUGAUUUGAUCUAAUGAGGGGGCAUGACUCUUGGGACUAGUGGGCGGGAUGACUCCUCGGUGGGGUACCUCCAGCCAUCCUUCGGGGGUGGCCUCAGGGUGUGAGUUAUGGCCCCAGAGGACUCAUCAUUACUUGAAAGUUUUGCAGAUGGAAUUGUUACCUAUGUCUCCAGAUCUCAGGAGGACAGGAGGACUUACAUGUUCCAACAGACUGGCUGAUUCUCAUAGCUGUGAUCCCAAAAUUCUGUGGAGAAAAGCACAGGGAGCUCUGGGAUGUGAAUCCUGGAGAUCCGGGAGAGGCUGGUGUUGCUGAGAGACGAAUGCUCUUCUACCAACCCAGAAGAGAAUGCCUGGCUGAGGACGAGAUGAUGGGAGCCGAGGCCAUGUGUCCCAGUGAGGGGUGUAGUCUGGCUGGAGAAGGAGCAUUACUCCCCGAGGGACAAGGAACAUGGCUCUGAGUGAGACAGACAGAGUUCCUGGCUUCAGAGGGUUUACAGUCCAGUGGGGAGGCAGGGAAGACAGGCAAACAAAGAAGAAUGCCAGGUAGGAAACACUAUAAAAGAAUCACAUUUUCUUUCACAAUCAGACUACACUUCUAAAGUCUAGUGAGCACUUAUUUUCAGCAAAGCACUUUGCUAAUGAUGAAACAAAUAGUUUUGUAUGCAAGUAUCGCUUUCUUAAAAAACAAAAGCAGUUUCAUACGGUUCAUGUUCUCUGAUCCUCACGAGAACCUUAUAAAGUAAACAGGAUGGACAUUAUUUUGAUUAUUAACCCCAUUUUGCAAAUGAGGAAACUGAGACUUAUUUUAGCAGCAAUGCAGCCAGUGAGUGUGCAGGAACUCACAGCCUCUGACCCCAGCUGCUCUCCACGCGCCUCGCUGCCUCACCGCCUCACCUUGACGAGUUUGCUGAUGGCUUACCCUCGUUUCCCAAGCCAUCUCUGGUUUGGUCGUUAGCAGUAUGGUCUGCCGGUUUUUAACAAAUGUAUGCAUUCAUAUAUUUAUGUGAUGAUUUUGGUGGUUUGGAAAACAGAUCUUGCAUCUCGGCCUUUGUAGAGAGGAUGCUGAUGCAGGGAGCCAGGAGGAGGCUGGCCAGCACCCAGAGGCCCUACUGCAGAGCAGGGGGAGGUUUCCACAUCUGGAAGUGCAGAGUGAGACAUCUGGGGAGGUCAAGUGGCCACUCGGUCAAUAGCCAGGACUUGGGGUCGGAUCAUGGCAACAGCUGUAGGAAACAACCAUGUUGGGGCUUUGAGGGAAGCAAAACGUGGCACCUCCCAACCAUGGAGGAGGAGGAGGAGGCAGUGUUUGAAAGUCUGCUAAAUGAGGGGCAAAAAAUGCUUUUUCCUUCAUCACCCAACACCUCCCCUGGCUGCUGUGCCCUUGAAGGACCCUCAGGCCUUCUUUCUUCCACUUGCUCAAGAAGGGACAAACCCAAAAAGAAGGCACCCAUCUUUCUUCGAGUUUCUCAUUAUUAGUCUUUUUUUGAAUAACCUACACAGGACAUGUUUUAUUCAUCUCCUGAUUGGUUCCUUAGUCACUCUGCUGUGGAACCUCUUCAUGACAUACCUGCACUGGACAUACAUCAAUGCCUCAUGCUUGCAGGGACUGUUCAGUUACCUAGACCAGGGCCAAAUAGGGGAGCCCCGGGAUUUGAUACUGAGAUGGUUCAGGGCUCUGCCAAAGACACCAGCUAAGACAGAGACAUAGUGGGAAGCAGGCUCUCUACAAGGCACCAAAUAGACAUGAAGGAGACUAACUUUUCAAGGGAAGGUAGAAAAAGCAGCAUGACAGACAGGAGCAGAGGGUUUUCAUCUUCUUCCCUCCCACCUUCACCAGCUGGAUCUGGACCCUGCAGAAGGUUGUCUUUUCCACAGUAGCCUGGUCCUAGUAGCAGAUUCCAGGCUCUGAGCUGUGGUAAGUACUAUUAUUAGGGUCUGGGGGCAACUGAAUGAGCAUUCCCACCAUGCACUCAAUAGUUAGGCCGAAUUGGUCUACAGUGAGCAGCAUGAGUUAUCCUCAAAAUGACGUGUGGGGGGAAAGUAAAAUGAAAACCAGGGAGUAAAAAGCAAAAUAAAAGUAUAAACUAGGGAUCCAAGUCAAAGAACCUGUGAUUGGUGGGAUGGCCUUUGAUGUGCUCUUCUUUUUUUUCUUUUGAGAUGGAGUCUUGCUCUGUUGCCCAGGCUGGAGUGCAGUUGUGUGAUCUCAGCUCAUGGCAUCCUCUGCCUCCCAGGUUCAAACAAUUCUCCUGCCUCAGCCUCUCAAGUAGCGGGAUUACAGGCAGGCACCACCAUAUCUGGCUAAUGUUUGUAUUUUAAGUAGAGACAGGGCUUCACCAUGUUGGCCAGGCUGGUCUCAAACUCCUGACUUCAGGUGAUCUGCCCGCCUUAGCCUCCCAAAGUGCUGAAAUUAUAGGUGUGAGUCACCACACACAGCCUGAUGUGCUCUUUAAUUAGGGCUGGGCGACUUUCAUUAGCCUUCUGAGCCUAUUUCCUUGUCCGCAACAGGAUAGGGAUGAGCCAAGGGAAACCCAAGAUCCCAUCAAGCUUGAAGACCCCGGGUUCCUGGGACUAAACCUUCAAGAGGAACAAGAGAGCAGAGAAGACUUGCAAAAAAUUAUUUAAGGAUAGGAGAUGUUUCUAAAUGUUGCAAAUGUGCCUUCUAUUUCCAUUUCCAUUUCCAAGUUUACAGUGUUUUUUCAAAGAUUAUUUCCCUCGUUAAAUCCCCACAGUGACUAUGAGCCCCCUGGUCUUACAGAGACGGAGAUGAUGUGGCUCCAUGGAGCUAAGAGAGUUGUCCAAAGCGGCAUCCAGCAUGAAUGAGGAUGCAAACCCAGAAUGAGGGCUUGGCCUCCCUUGUUCAACACCUUGGCCUUGAACCCAUCACAUCAGCCUACUUUGCUCUCCACUGCUUCAUCUGCUCCUCAUCUCAUGGUCUCUGAGCCUCUUACCUUGACUCCUGCCCACAGCACAUAUUCGUUCCUGUCCGUGAGAGACUGGAAUUGUUCUCCCUUUACCCCCUCGGGGCUCCCUUCCCCCACCACAAUCUGUACUCAGCCUCGGGUCGCCUUUAUUGUUGUUGACCCAGGUAAUAGUCAACUCAGACCCUGAGACUUGGCCUGGCACUGGCCGAUGUGACCAGUAUCCACAAGAAAGGAGUUCAGCAAUCGCCACACGGAAGAAUUAUGCACACAAAGCAAGAGGGUCUUUCUGCCACAUCGCUGAACAGGAAAAUCAAUUCAACAAAUAUUUAUUGGCACUUACUCUGUGCAAGGCAUAGUCUGUAUAUUAAAAAGAGAAAUGAUAUGGCCUUGAGGUGGUGGGGAAA